GAUGAACGCUGGCGGCGUGCCUAAUACAUGCAAGUCGAGCGAACGGACGAGACGCUUGCUUCUCUGUUGUUAGCGGCGGACGGGUGUGUAACACGUGGAAAAUCCACCUAUAAGACUGGGAUCACUUCGGGAAUCCGUAGCUAAUACCGGAUAAUCUUUUGCUCCGCAUGGUUCAAAAGUGAAAGACGGUCUUGCUGUCACUUAUAGCUGGAUCCGCGCUGCAUUAGCUAGUUGGUAAGGUAACGGCUUAUCAAGGCAACGAUGCAUAGCCGAGCUGAGAGGGGGAUAGGCCACACUGGAACUGAGACACGGUCAAGACUCCUACGGGAGGCAGCAGUAGGGAAUCUGCCGCAAUGGGCGAGAGCCUGGCGGAGCAGCGCCGCGUGAGUGAUGAAGGUCUUCGGAGCGUAAAACUCGGUUAUUAGGGAAGAACAUAUGUGUAAGUAACUGUGCACAUCUUGACGGUACCUAAUCAGAAAGCCACGGCUAACUACGUG
rnacentral:rRNA from 1 species